rnacentral:rRNA from 1 species
CCUACGGGUGGCAGCAGUGAGGAAUAUUGGUCAAUGGUCGGGAGACUGAACCAGCCAAGCCGCGUGAGGGAGGAAGGUACAGAGUAUCGUAAACCUCUUUUGUCAGGGAACAAAGGCGGGGACGUGUCCCCGGAUGAGUGUACCUGAAGAAAAAGCAUCGGCUAACUCCGUGCCAGCAGCCGCGGUAAUACGGAGGAUGCGAGCGUUAUCCGGAUUUAUUGGGUUUAAAGGGUGCGCAGGGGGGUUGUUAAGUCAGCGGUGAAAGCCCGGGGCUCAACCCCGGCCCUGCGUUGGAUACUGGCAGUCUUGAGUUGGAGAGAGGUAUGCGGAAUGCGCGGUGUAGCGGUGAAAUGCAUAGAUAUCGCGCAGAACUCCGAUUGCGAAGGCAGCAUGCCGGCUCCACACUGACGCUGAGGCACGAAAGCGUGGGUAUCGAACAGGAUUAGAUACCCUAGUAGUC